rnacentral:rRNA from 1 species
UACGAAGGGGGCUAGCGUUACUCGGAAUUACUGGGCGUAAAGGGCGCGUAGGCGGCGCUCCAAGUUAGGCGUGAAAGUCCUGGGCUCAACCUGGGAACUGCGCUUAAGACUGGAGUGCUUGAGGAUGGAAGAGGGUCGUGGAAUUCCCAGUGUAGAGGUGAAAUUGUAGAUAUUGGGAAGAACACCGGUGGCGAAGGCGGCCCACUGGACGAACACUGAGCUGAGGCGCGAAAAGCGUGGGGGAGCAAAACAGG